UCGCCAUUUUCUUUUUGCUCCAACAGACAGGCAACUUGGAUCAGUAAAUGUAUGCCAAUACUUAGUGAAAACUAAAACACUAACCAAUAUCAUGCUGGUUAAGGUGAAACUUGGGGAUGCCCAAAAAUUUGUCAAGAUAACCGAGCUGAGCCUGGAGGAAUUUCUAUCUGCGGGUAAAUAAAUAUAUACUUUCAUUGUAUUAUUUUAUGAUUUUUUAUUUUUAUUUUAUUUAAAUGUUACUUGAUGGAUGGCUAUAAUUUUAUAUAAGAAUAUAUAGUCAAAUGUUGCAUGUGCCCUGAUGUUCAAAGUUCAUCUUCGCUAUGUAAAACCUUU